UUUUUUUUUUUUAAACUCGAUUUAGCAUUCUGGUAUCUGAAUGCUUUUAAAACUGCCCUUACCUCUUGAAGAAUCUCUGGGACAUUCAGCCAUCCAUCCACAUGGGUCCUUGCUUUGACUCAGGAGGACGGAAAGCAACAAGGGUCUCGCUCUAUCCCAGGCUGAUCUGGAGUUCACUUGUAGUCUCAGGAAUGCCC